rnacentral:rRNA from 1 species
AUUGAACGCUGGCGGCAUGCUUUACACAUGCAAGUCGAGCGGCAGCGCGGGGGGCAACCCUGGCGGCGAGCGGCGAACGGGUGAGGAAUACAUCGGAACGUACCCCGGAGUGGGGGAUAACGCCGCGAAAGCGGCGCUAAUACCGCAUAUGCUCUGAGGAGGAAAGUGGGGGACCUGCAAGGGCCUCACGCUCUGGGAGCGGCCGAUGUCCGAUUAGCUAGUUGGUGGGGUAGAGGCCCACCAAGGCGACGAUCGGUAGCUGGUCUGAGAGGAUGAUCAGCCACACUGGGACUGAGACACGGCCCAGACUCCUACGGGAGGCAGCAGUGGGGAAUUUUGGACAAUGGGGGCAACCCUGAUCCAGCCAUGCCGCGUGCGGGAAGAAGGGCCUUCGGGUUGGUAAACCGC